AUAAAAUAAAAUUCAAACCGUUUUCAAAAUAAAUAAAAUAAAAACUCUUUCUUCAUUCAUCUCUGGCACGUUCGGUUCUUCCUUUAUUCUCUCCCCUUUUCUACUAUUUUUUCUUCUUUCUCUCUCUCCUUUAUUGUCCUUUCUAACAAAGCGCUGCCACUUCCUCCACACACUUUCCAGCGUCUUACCUCCGAUCAGGCCAGCUUCCUUCCCAUCAUUCGAAAUUUAAAUCCUCAAGUAUAUCUAUCCAAGCCUAUUUCUUCGAAGAUUCUCUCUCACUCUCGGUCUCUUUUCAACGUUUUCCUGUCAUUCUUUUUUAGCUUUGGGUAUCCACAGGCCAAAAAAACACACGCUAGAGUAGGAAGAGAGUUUUCGUGAAAGAGAAACGUUUUCUCUGGCGUUUCUGGUUUUUGUGAUUUUUGAAAUUCUCUGCUUCAACGGAGACUCAUUUCAGGAUGAAGAUAGCAGUGGAAGGGUGCAUGCAUGGAGAUCUCGACAAGGUCUACAAGACCAUUAAAUACAUCGAAAAUACUCGCAACAUCGAAAUCGACCUCCUCCUUUGUUGCAGUGAUUUCCAGGCAGUCAGGAAUGAAAGAGAUAUGGAUAGCCUCAAUGUGCCUCCAAAAUAUAGGGAGAUGAAGUCAUUCUGGAAAUACUAUUCAGGUGAGGAGGUUGCCCCAGUUCCCACCAUUUUUAUUGGUGGAAAUCAUGAAGCUUCCAAUUAUUUAUGGGAAUUGUAAGUCACCCCCUUUUUCUAUAACUCAGUGAUUCUUAAAUUAUGAUAUUGAACAACUUGAUGCUUUCAUUUAUGUUUUUGGCAUGCAAGUAGCUCAUAAAACCAAACCCCCUCCUUCUUUUAUUCUUCUUAUGCUUUUUUCUUUUACAAUUUUUUUCGUUUUCCCCUAGGGUUUUAUUCAGCGCAGCCGGCUAAAGGUAAAGUCUGCAUUUAGUUUCGAGUUAUUGAAGUAGUUUUUUUUAAAGAUAUAAUUAGGGUUUUGGAUGGUGAAUUUUAAGUGGAUUUGUUGAAUUCUAGCCCCGAAAGUUUUGUCUGUGUAUGUAAUGUAAUUAGUGUUUUGAUAGUGAUUCUUAAAUUUUGAUAUUGAACAACUUGAUGCUUUCAUUUAUGUUUUUAUAAUAUUUGUUGUCUUCUUGCUUGCAGUACUAACUGGAAUUUUAGAUAUUUAUUGUAUUUGUACAGUGAGUCAAUGAUAUUAUAUUUAAUUUAAAUCUAAUUUGAUCCGGUGUGCUUCUUUCAUUUAUAAUUUCAAAGUUUCAAUCUUUUUAAUAUCGAUUUGGCACAAUGGACCUCGAAUAUUUAAUAUUAAAUAUUUAAGUUUGUAGUUGUAACUUUCUACUGGUUUUCUUUGUUAUUAGUCUGUCCCUACAGUUUGAAGGCAGCAGAUAAUUGGGUUUCUAUUUUCUAAGGUUGUAUAGUAAUUCUCAUGAUCAUCUUUUGUACCUAUCUUCAUCUGUUUUAUGCAAUUUAAAUUAAGGGUCUCCUUCAUAAUGUUGAUAGUUGAUUGGACAGAUCACCAGUCCAUCGUAGGAUUUUUGUAUUUAGUUGCAGGCAACCGUUCAUUGCCCUCAUUUUUCCCCUGGUUUUCAGCUAUUUUGAUUUAUUCAAAAGCUGAAGAUUUCAUCUGGCAUUUACAUGGUUGUUAAGGACAUUUUCCUGGAAUGAUUAGUUCUUUAUCCAUUUUUAUUCUCAUUUUCCAGGUUUUCAUCUAUUUGAUUUCUUCUGAAGCUGAUAGUGUUCGUGUUUCUCCUCUGACAAUUUAUUUCUUUUUCACUGUUUCUCGAUGCCAUGUUCAGUUGUGAGUAGUGCAUGUUUUCUCUUAUCGUGAUUUACUGAAUUAUUGUGGUUUAGAACUUGUAACAUUGUGUUUCUCAUUCUUCCUUGUUUGUUUGCUCAUAAAACUGAGGGAAAAUGGGUAUUGCAAGGUGUUGUAUUGUUGUUCUGACUUUUAGUUACAGAAAAUACUUGCUCAAGUAAGUUUCAGAGCGUUUUUGUAAGCAGACAAGAGGAUCUUUAUCCUUAAGUCCUAAAAUGGAGGUUAAUACUUUAGGUCCUUUUGUUAUCUUUUUCCCCAUUUUGAAUUACGGGACCAAGGAAUGUUCUAACUUAAAUUUUCCUUGUUUGACUUUGGAUUGAGAGACCUGAAAUAAUACCUCCUUUUGUAGUUCAUUAAGGAAGGAAGUAAGAAGAGAUUUUGAUAUCAAUUAACAUCAAUUUUAACUAGAAGAAUGUGGUCAUAUUUGGAGUUUAAGUCUCGCAUUUUAUCUGGUGCUAAGGUGGUGCUUAUUAGUCAGUCCAUGGAUCAAUGCAUAUUCGGUUUUCUUUUCAUACUGCAAAAGGUGCUUGUACUCAUCAGAAAGGAUCUGGGUAUAUUUUCUUUAAAAUAGUUGAGUGGAGGUGAUCAAUGAACUUUGUUGGAAUUGUUUGUGUGCUGGUGCUUAUAUGAUUUGGAAAUGGAUUUUGAUUGAAAUAUUCAGUUAAUUCCUAAAUGCAUGGCAUGGUUGGAAUUAGGGAUGUAGUUGAAUCGAAAAGGUUGUUUUAUAUUACAAAGUAGUUACAAGUGGUUUUUGUGUUGCAUUAGAAGAUGUUAACUAUGUGAUGUUUUCUUUCUUAUGAAGAAUGCAGUAUAUUUGCCUUUUUUUUAUCUUAAAGUGAGAGUUUUCUUUCAAAGUUUCAUAUUUGAAUUGUAUUACUGGUUUAUUUUUCAAAAAUCCAAAGUAUUCAUCUUUUUCUUUGGUACUGUUAAUUAUGCAGCAAAAGAAGGUUUAUCUUUUGAGGACGUUGGCCAUUCAUAUUGACCCAAGAUAUAUUUAUUCAUCACUCGAAGCAAAGCAAAAGGUAAAGUAGGAGGGUUUUGAGGAGAGUGAAAAAUGGCUGGUCCUGCUUCAUCCGAGAGUGAAGUCAUUCUGAAAAUACUAUUCGGGUCAGGAGGUUGCCUCAGUUCCCACCAUUUUUAUCGGUGGAAAUCAUGAAGCUUCCAAUUAUUUAUGGGAAUUGUAUUAUGGGGGAUGGGCAGCACCUAAUAUAUACUUCUUGGGGUUUGCUGGGGUUGUGAAGUUUGGCAAUAUCCGUAUUGGUGGGCUUUCCGGAAUUUACAAUGCGCGUAAUUAUUGUUUAGGGUGGAGAGUUGAAGCUUUGAAAGUGAAAUGAAUUAGCUAGGGAGCUUCAAAAUUUUAGGGGCUAGUCCCCCGUGAACCCCUCUGGCUCAAAUGUUUUUGGGUGUAGGCUGCAUCGGAUUGUAAUUUCAGGAAUCCACGGUGUGAAUUCAGGGUCCAUCGAUAGUGCUGUAACAACUAGUGUAUAGCCAGAGUCCACCGACAAUGCAGUGACCCUAAUGUCAAGCCAAAAUCACCUGGGAAGAUCCGGUGCUAAUCCAGGAUUUCAGGUGGAAAGGAAACUAGAAGUUGAUGACAAUUUGCAGAUGCAGGCUAUUGGUAUAUAUUUUUUAAUCUAAUCAUAGCUUGAGUUGUAAAAACCUCCUUAAAGUGGGGGGAAGAACGUCAGUUGAGCAAAUGUUUGAAAAAGAAUCCACUCAUUAUAAUUUAUGCACUGGCAUCUUGUUGAUAUUUCCCUACCCAAUCAAGAUAUCCAAGUGCAAAAAAAAUGCAAAAUGUAUGAAGGAAAGCUUUGUCAUAAGAUCUGUGAUUAACUUGGAAAUAUAGUCAUGGAAAUGACUGCAUAAAUUGGAAUUGCCAGUAGAUCUUUUGCUUUCGAUAAGAAUUCAAUGUAUCCAUGGGAGAAAUACUGAAAUCUCGUAGAGAUAUCUUAGAGCUCAAUAUAUUGAUGAUGGUUAUAGAUGAUCCAAAGGUUGUAAUGCAUUAAAAGGAUAUUCCAAGGGUAUUGUGGUAGACUUGUGGUAGAAUAUUUUUUGCAUUUUAUAGUAGGCCGAUUGCAUUGCUUUUAGCUAGAUUUGGUCUGCAUGAAGUUUUAUGUUGGGUUCCGAAGCAUUUUUCCACAUCAGGUAAAUUGAUUCUCAGGGGCUCAUUGUACACCAGAUUGAGUUGUAUGGUAGAAAGCUUAAAUGCCUUCCAGCUUCAGAUAACUAGCUUGUAUGAUCAAAAUGUUUUCAUUAUCUAUAUGAUGUUAGAGCCAGAGAACCUUUAGACAAACUGUCUUGAUACUGAAUCUGGUUAAUUCGCUUCACAGACAAAUAUAUGGGACUGGAUUUUUUCGCAUUUUCAGUGAUAAGGUAUCUUAUCAUCUUCAACCAGUUCUGUCUUAUAUUUCUACUUUAACAAUAUUCAAAUUUUCUUCUUCGCCUGUUGGGUUUCUGUAUAAAUUACACUAUUGUUGCCAAUCAGAACUUAUGAAUAUUGUUAAAGUAGAAAUAUAAGAAAAUAUUGUAUAAUUACCAUCGUCGUUCACCAGUCAGGCAGUCACCACCGGUACACCAUCAUCGUUCACCAGUCAGGUAGUCACCAUCGGUCCACCCGUCGCCACCCGUCAAUCUCUUUCAAGUAAGAGCAAAAUUAAAUUUGUAUUCCUUUUUCUUUUUUCAAGUAAGAGCAAGCCCGUUACUACUCAACCAUAACUCAGUAGCAUUUUUGGCAUGCAAGUGGCUCAUAAAACCAAACCCGCUUCUUUUAUUCUUCUGCUUUUUGCUUUUACAAUUUUUUCCUUUUCCCCUAGGGUUUUAUUCAGCGCAGCCGGCUAAUGGUAAAGUCUGCAUUCAGUUUCGAGUUGUUGAACUAUGAAGUAGUUUUGAUGAAUUCUACUUUGUUUUUUUUUCUUUUUAUAUAAUUAGGGUUUUGGAUAGUGAUUUUUCAAGUGGUUUUGUUGAAUUCUACCCCAAAAGUUUUGUUUUUGUAUGUAUUGUAAUUAAUGUUUCGAUAGUGAUUCUUAAUAUUUGAUUUUAAAUAACUUGAUGCUUUCAUUUUUGUUUUUAUAAUAUUUGUUGUCUUCUUGCUUGCAGUACUAACUGGAAUAUUAGAUAUUUAUUUUAUUUGUACAGUGAGUCAGUGAUAUUUAUAUUUAAUUUAAAUCUAAUUUGAUCUGGUAUGCUUCGUUCAUUUUUAAUUUCAAAGUUUCAAUUUUUUUAAUAUCGAAUUGGCACAAUGGAUCUUGAAUAUUUAAUAUUUAAGUGUGUAGUUGUAACUUUCUACUGGUUUUCUUUGGCUACAUUUUGAAGCCAGCAGAUAGUUGGGUUUCUAUUUUCUAAUGUUGGGUAGUAAUUCUCCUUAAAAACUAAUGAAAAGCAUGGUCAUCUUUUGUACCUAUCUCCAUCUGUUUUAUGCAAUUUAAAUUAAGGGUCCCCUUCAUAAUGUUGAUAGUUGAUUGGACAGAGAGAUUAUAACUUGGUCAUCAAUCUAUCGUAAGUUUUUGUAUUUAGUUGCAGGCAAUUGUUCAUUACCUCUCAUUUUUCCACUGGUUUGGUUUCCUCCAUUGCACUAGUCUGGUUUCUUUUCCAAUGAUUUGAUUUGUUUUUCUCUAGCAAGCCUUAUUAAGAUUGUGUAUAAUUCUUUUGCCUUCAAUGGUUUGUCUCUUUUCUUUUGCCUUGAAUGUUUAAAUGAGAAGCGGAAGCAGGAGCUAUCAUCUCUCUAAAUCUCUAAUGAAACUGCAUUAUCUAACUUGAGCCUUACAAAAAAAGGCCAUCAGAAAUGGGGAAUUUUAGGUCUUACAAGGAAACUAGAGGGCAGGGUGUACGGUGGACAAGGUUAACAGUGUGUGGUGUGGGUUAUAGAGUUGAGAUGGCUUAAACUUCCUUCCUUGGCUUCUAAAAGUCGAAAGCUUGUAAGUGGGAAAUAUUCCCACUUAAAUAUGUUACAGGAUAUUUUUUAUUUAUUACAGGAUAUUUAAAAGAUUUUAUCUUUAUUUAUUACAGGAUAUUUAAAAGAUUUUAUCUCCUAACUAUUUUUAAAUAUGUUACUCUUAUCUUGUUUUACAGUGUAAUAAUAGGAAUAUAAUCCACAAUUGAAGGAAAUAUAUCAAUAAUGAUAAUAUUUUCUAAAUUUUAUGUACAACAUAAUCCACAAUUGAGGAAUAUUAUUUGUUUUGGGGAGUAAAUUUUGGUACAGAAAUUGCAUAUUAGUCCAACAUCAUCUGUGUAUUCAAUUGAAUGUGUUUUCCGUCUUUCAAGGAUAUUGCUUAUUGAUUCCUCAAUGAAGAUAUCUUUCAAUCGCUGCAUUAGAGAUGGAGAUUUGAUUAUUGCAUAUUAGAGGCAUGAUACUAUGAAAGCUGUUAAAGUGUGCGAGAAUUUGGUUCUUCAAAAUCGUUUCCAUGAAAUUUAAUAUAAAUAAUUGUUUUAAUUUGAUUUAGGGCAGUGCUGAUGAAUUGAAUAGAGGAUAUUUUGAUGAUAUGUCUGAGCGCAAACAACACGGUGGCAAGCAAGGAAGUUUCCUGCCGUGGAUGUUAUAUAUUCUGAUGGUAGAAAAUCAAAGCUGCCGAUUGUUUUUAAUGCAAGUGGUGUUGAUGGUAGCAAGUUGGCUGUCCCUGAAGCAUCUUUAGUCUGUCUAUCAUGUAGAGCAAACUCUCAGGCUAUGGUCGAUUCUUGGAGCAAGCCUUUUUAUGACGCCUUCAGAGAGUCCAAGAGCCUGCAGCUAAAUGAGUGAUGGAGAGAAGGAUGCUCUUCAGAGGCGAAUUGUUUAUUCAUAUGGUGAUCAUUAUUACUUCCGAAAGGAACUUAAGAUACUGAACCUUAUAACUGGGUAUAUUUUCCUGCUUGACAAAUUUGGUAUAAUAAGAUGGCAGGGCUUUGGUUUGGCAAAGUAAGAAGAGUUGUCAUCGCUUUUUUUAUUGCACGAAAGUUCUUGUGGAGGAAAAAUAGGUAGCCUGGCAUUUUUUAGGUACCCUAUGAUCUUAAUGGGUUAAUCUCCAUUUUUGCAUUCAAGGGAUACUAGUGUCAAAUGAAAAUAAUGAUGUGCUUUGUUGGAAACAUGGUCCUGUUUGCUAUUUUCUUUUAGAUUUCUGCAACCAACCAAAGCCUUAGGUUUUCCAUUUCGGGAGAGCGAGUGAAAAGUAAAGAAGUAUCCUUAUGCUAGUGUCAGUUUUAUUUCAACUUCGCUUUCUUAUAUUCUAGUUUUGUGUCGGACUUAAGUUAUAUGCCUAUCAAUAUCCCAUUGAUAAUCCUUGCAGAUACUUUCGGCUUCCCUGGAGUAGCUUAGUUCUUACACUAAAAGCCUGUUGGCUCAACAGGAUGAACAAGUUCACAGUUUUGAGAGAC